rnacentral:lncRNA from 1 species
CUACACUCAAUCAUAAACUUAUGCACAGUCCUGGAACAAUUUAUAUCUUCCUUAAUCUCCCAGCGCAGUGCCUUGUUGGAAAUACUUGAGUCCAUCCUGACUACUAAAUCUCUGGAAGGUCUUCGUGCAAGUCAACUUGCAUGUAGGGUAAGCAUUAUUUCAAACAUCUAUGUUCACCUAUCUCCUGCUACUGCCUUUUAUGUUCUCUUUUGGGUAAUUGAGUUUGCUGUGUAGUUGGUCUAGGUUUGUGUUAUUUUUUCAGGAUAGUGGUGACUGUUCAGGAAAGCAACCUUUGCAUCCACAGAGCUAGAAGCUUUGGGGUACUCUCAAGAUGAAUCAGUUCUUCAAAAGUUCUAGAAGCUUUGUGAACGCCAACUACCUGCAAUUUAGUAGGUUUAUCCUUGAUCCAUCCUCCUCACCUCCCAUAACUUCAGAAACAGCCAACAACAAAAAACUCUUAUUAGGGGGUUCAUGGGGUUUGGGGAGCAUUGAGUCAAUACCUUGGGUUAUUUUCCCAUCUUUGCUCCGUUUAUUUUGAGCUUUUUGAUUACCAUCACAUGGACCUGUUUGAUCAACUUUAUCAGGGGAAUGGGGUUGUUGGGAGAGUUAAGUCAAUACCUGACUUUUCCACCUGCUGCUUUUUGAAAUAUUUUCCUGCAAAUUUAGGUUGUUCACUGGUUUGUAGACUUUAUUUUGAUGACCAUGGCCUUGCUGACCUUUGUUAUUUUUCCUUUUUUUGAGUUUACCACUCAUCCAUUUGUUGUUUGUCCAUCUCAGGUUGUGUUUGUUGCAAUUUUUUUGGGUAUCCUAAGCACCUUAAACACUAGCAGUGAUAUUAGCAUUAACCUGUGGAGGAGAAGUUUGGGGAAUUACCUGAUUUCUGGCAUUUGCAGUCUUCUUGCCCUUGAUUUUAUUUGCAGCUUGAGCUUCUUUUCUCUUCUUGUAUUCCUCAUCUUUUCUCUUUAUGUUACAAACUUGUGAUAUGUGUCCUUGGUGUUUGCAAUAAGAAACUCUGGUAGUCCCUCAUAUUGGAUGGCUUGCCAUCUUCCCACAGUAAAGUCUUCUUCAUCAAACCCCAUCCAAACAUGAGGAGGUCUUUCUUUCGUAAUGUCUAUUUGCAUCCUAAUUCUUGCCACACUGCCUCUAUUUUUUUUUUUGGAGAGAUGCAGCAUCCAAAUAUAAUGUUUACCAAUAGGAGAUAGGAGGGAAGUCAAAAACUCUUUGUUAUAGCAAUGCCAAGGUAGCUCUGGUAGAGUAACCCCUACAUGCACGAAUGGGGGUCUCUUCCUCAGGAGUGUAGGUGGGGUCUAGACUUGGAGUCUCAUUAUUGAUCCUCAAUGUACAUCUUUUGUAUGUUCCACACAGAAAUAUGAUCUUCUUCGUUGUCCAAGCCAAUAUAAAUAUGCCUCGUAUUAAAGUGAGCUAUUUUGACACCACAAGUAAGCUGAGUAUGAAGGUAAAACUCUUCCUGAUAAAUUCAAUUUUUGGCGUAGUGUUUGUGAACUUCCCAACCAUAGUGUAUUUGCAUCUUGAAGCUAAUUUCACCAAAAAAUCCUCUUUUUAAAAAAUCACUACUGGCAGGCCUUAUCUUGUAGGGAGUGUAGGAGUCGAUAUCUUAAUAGGGAUUUCAUUCUUAGCUUGGUUAGCUCGUAGUCUUGUUGCAAAAGUUUGGAUCACAGUGAAAGGACCUGGUUCAAAGGUCAGCACAUUUUUGGUGUUUGUACAAUGAUCAUGGUGUCUAAAAACUUUGGUAUUAUUUUCCAUAUGAGAUUUCUGUUUCUUUUGAGGGUUGUUGGGAAUAUAUUUAUCGAAGUUGGAAGUGAGUUUAGUGAGAUUAUGGGGAAUAUGAGCAGUAGGCUUUUGGGAGGUGGUAGAUACAUCUUUAGUUCUACUCUCUUCAGCAUUCAAAACCUUAUGAUUGAUGGAAUUGUUAAGAUCAACAGGGACAGGAUUUUGUCUAAGACGAACCUGCCAGUUCCUUUUUUCCUUUUUCAACAAUCUGCAUAGAAUGUGUCAGCGCACUCAAAUGUUGCUCAAUUGCAUCAGAUUGCAAUUGAGCUUCAUUUUUAACAAACAUCUUGGGAUCAUUAAGCAUUGGAUGAGCAUUAGUAUACUUACCUUGAUCAGCAAGAGGUCUUAUAUUACCACUUACAUUCAUUUGUUGAGGUGCAGCUUCAUUACUAACACAAUUAAUACUAUCCGAAGAGAUUGAGAUAGAGUUGCUUAGUAUACUUACCUUGAUCAACAAGAGGUCUUAUAUUACCACUUACAUUCAUUUGUUGAGGUGCAGCUUCAUUACUAACACAAUUAAUACUAUCCGAAGAGAUUGAGACAGAGUUGCUAGGACACUUUUCUUGAGGUUUUGUGAUUCGUUUGUUGGAAUUUUGUUGAACAUUUGGUUGAUCAUUGCCAGACACAACUUCUUUAUCAUUAUUGAGUAUUUUCAAGUCUUGAUCAGGCUGCUCAGAACUUACCCCUGCCUUCUAUAGCAUUUGAAAUUCAUGUAUUUCUUUGUGUUUGAAGGACCCGAUUUUGGUUCACAACCUGGCCUUGAGCUAUUAAAGGUUAAAUAAACUGGCCUUCUUCACCUGAGUAUGUGACCUUUUGACUAUUAGGAUGAGAAUUUUGCACCUUCGUCUCACCUUGACGGUAAUCGUCGACUGUUUUUGAGCUUAUGAGAUGUGUUUUCUUGUGUUGAGUAUUUUGGCAUCUAUUUAGGAAAUCUAUGUACAAUUUUAAGAAGGGUAGAGAAUAAGUUAUGUGGGUAUUAGUUAUACAUGGAUAAAAUUAUAAAGUUACAUAUUUACCCCUUUUUUUUUUCCAUAAGGGUAGCUUAGUUUAGGAACAAAUUCUGAAAGGAACGGUAAUAUAUGAAUUAACACUAGUAUAUAUACAAAUUAAUAAGCAAUUAUAAUAUUUGGUUUAAAAUAUUUAUAUCUUUAAAUAAUAAAAAGUAUUCUUGCUAGAAUUCACAAAGUAGUAUUUUAGGAAGUAGCAAUCACCGCUUAAGUUGUUUUCUCAUUUUUUGACAUCACUCUUUCAAUUCUCCACAUUAUUGAUAAUUUCUCUGACUUUUAUAAGGUAUUCUUUAAUUCACUUUUAAUUUUUCUUGUGUAUUUAACGUGAUUCAAGAUUAGAAAAAAAUAUAUAUUUAAACAAUAUCAUUAUCAGUUGAUUUUUGUUUGGGACAUGUAUAUAAUUAAUUUAUUACAAAUCAAACUUUCAAUACGAAAUGAUUCAUGUAAUAUUAUUCAUACAUAACUAAUAAUUGCAUAACUAAUACCUGCAUAACUUAUACCUGCAUAACUAUAAUCAGUAAUCAAACGACCCUUUUGGGUAAGAUUAAGGUUUAUGCCUUAGGGUUUAUGGUUUAGGGUUAAGGGUUUAGGAUUUAGGCCUUAAUAUUUAGGGUUUAUGGUUAGGGAUUUAGGAUUUUGGCACUCUUAGUUUAGGGUUUAGGUUUUAUGGUUUAGGGUUCAAGGUUUAGUCCCAAAAGUUUAGGAUUUAGGGUUUAGAGGUUAGAAUUUAUGAUUUACGCUUAAGGAUUUAGGCCCUAAGGUUUAGAGUUUAGGGUUUAGGAUUUAGGAUUUGGGCACAAAGGUUUGAGGUUUUGAGUUUAAGGUUUAGAUUUUAGGUCCUAAGUUUAGGGUUUAGGCCCUAUGAGUUAGUGUUUAUGGUUUAGGACUUAAUGGUUUAGAUUUUAGACCAUAAGGUUUAGGGUUGAGAGUUUAUGGUUUAGUCCCUAGGGUGUACGGUUUAGGGUUUAGGCCGUAAGGUGUAGGGUUUAGGAUUUAUGGUUUAGGCCAUAAGGUAUAGGGUUGAGGGUUUAGAUCCUAAGGUUAAGUGUUUUUGGUUUUUGGAUUCUGGAUUAUGAUUUAGGGUUUAGAGUUUAGGCUCUAAGGUUUAGGGUUUAGGAUGUGAGGUUUACAAUUUAUUGUUUAUGGUUUAUGGUUUAUGGUUUAAGGUUUCGUUUUUAUGGUUCAAGUUUUAAGGUUUAGGCCCUAAUGUUUAGGGUUUAUACUUUAGUGUUUAGGGUUUAGGGUUUAAGGUUUAUAUGGUUUAUGGUUUAGGGGUUAGGCCCUAAGAUUUAGAGUUUAGAAUUUAUGGUUUAGAUUUUAGGGUCUAGGUCCUAAGGUUUAGGCUGUAGGGUUUAAGCCAUUUGGUUUAGAGUUUAGGGUUUAUGGUAUAUGGUUUAGGAUUAAGGCAAGUUAGGUUUAGGAUUUAGGACCUAAGUUUUAGAGUUUGGGGUAUAGGGUUUCGAGUUUAGGGUUCAGGCCCUAAGGUUUAGGGUGGUCUAUCUUAGUUUUUGAUCUUUAGUUUGUGUCUUUGUUUUUGUUUAAAUAAUUGAGAUAUGGAUUGAUGAUGCCCAAUGAUGGAUAGAUUGACGACUUUCUUAAGGGUAAAUCGUCGAUUGUUUGCGAGUGUUUGAUUGGUGUUGGAUGUGGUGAAGUGUGAGUAGGGUUUAGGGUUUAGGGUUUAGAGAUAGCUUUAGGUGUUAAUGCCCUAAGGUUUAUGGUUUGGGGUUUAGGCCCUAAGGUUAAGGGUGUAGGUCCUAAGGUAUAUGGUUUAGAUUUAGGCCCUAUUAAAUGAUUUUGAAUGUCAUAUCACUGGUGUGUAUGCUUCUAACAGAAAAUUGGAAAGGAGACUGAUAUGAGAGGAAUUAGCUGAUGUUAGAAGUCUGAUGGAGGGGCCAUGGCCUAUCUAUGGUUCAUUUAAUAUAUGUUGAUUCCCAUAUCAAAAAAGGACUGCAUUAGGAGAACUUCAGCUAUGGGAGAAUUUUCAGAUUGUAUGGAGGGCAUGGAACUAGUUGAUUUGCAGCUUGAUGUGGAACUUGCACUAGGUUUAAAGGAUAAGACCAUACUAAUUUCUCUGGAAUAGAUCCACAUAAUGCAAUAACUAAUUUAGUAAUCUAAAGCAGUCUACUCUACAAAGAGUGGUUUCAAAUCAUGUCCCAAUUGCUCUGCUGUGUUUAGGGUUUAGGAUUUAUGGUUUAUGUUUUAGGGUUUUGGCAUUAAGGUUUAGGGUUUAAGGUUAAGGCCCUAAAGUUUAGGGUUUAGUCCCUAUGGUGUAGGGUUUAGUCCCUAAGGUGUAAGGUUUAGGGUUUAGGAUUUAAGGACCCUAAGACUUAGGGUUUAGGAUUUGGCCCUAAUGUUUAGGGUUUAUGAUUUAUGGUUUAGGCCCUAAAAUUUAGGUUGAAGGUUUAGGGUUUAUGGUUUAUGAUUUUGGGGUUAGGGUUUAGAGUUUAGGUCCUAAGGUUUAGGGUUUAGGCACUAAGGCUUAGAGUUCAUGGUUUAUGGUUUAGGGUUUAGACCCUACGGUUUAGGAUUUAGGCACUAAAGCUUAGAGUUAAUUGUUUAUGAUUUAGGGUUUAGGCAUAAUGUUUAGUGUUCAGCGUUUAGGCACAAAGGCGGGUUUCAAGUUUAUGGUUUAGGUUUAGGUUUCUGGGUUUAGGCCCUAAGACUUAGAGUUUAGGAUUUAUAUUUUAGGUCCUAAGGUUUCAGGUUUAGAGUUUAGAAUUUAGGGUUGGGUGUAGGGUUUACGGUUUUACGCCCCAAGAUAUAGGGUUUAGGCCCUAAGUUUUAGGGUUUAGGAUUUAGGCCCUAAAUUUAGGGGUUAGGAUUUAAGGAUUAGGUCUUAAGAUUUAGGGUUUAUAAAUUUAUGAUUUUGGUCCUAAGAUUUAUGAUUUAAGGUUUAUAAUUUAGGUUUUAGAGUUUAGGCCCUUAGAUUUGGAGUUUAUGUUUUAUGGUUAUGGUUUAGAAUUUUUAUGGCACAAGGUUAAAGGUUUAAGUCCUAAGGUCUAGGCUUUAGGGUUUAGGCCCUAAGGCUUAGGGUUUUUGAUUUUUGGUAUAUGUUGUAGGAUUUACGUAGGGUUUAGGUUUUACCCUAAGGUUUAAGGUUUAACGUUUAGGUUUAGGGUUUAGGAUUUUACCCUAAGGUUUAAGGUUUAAUGUUUAGGGUUUAAGCCUUAAGGUUUAGGUUUAACGGUUUUAGGUCCUAAGGUAAAUUUACGGUUUAGGAUUUGGCCCAAAGGUUUAGGGUUUACUGUUUAGGCCCUAAGGUUUAAGGUCUAGAGAUUUGGGUUUAAGGUUAGGCCCAAAGGUUUAGGGUUUAUGACUUAAGUUUUUUUUUUAAUGACCCUUGAGCCAGGGGUUAGCAACACCCCCAGGCCUUAUCAUUAAUAAAUCAAAAAACCUUACCUCCGAUCGUAUGGUGGUUCAUAAGUCGGCUAUCCUACUAAGGACGGCCAACUCAACCCCGAUACUAGAAAAGAAACCUAGAUCAACUGUGAACCUAGAAGAGAGGACUCUUCUCAAUACAAGUAAUAUAGGAAAGCGAUAAAUAAGGGAGACUCUCCCUUUACAAAGUAAGAAGAAAAAACAAAAAGCAAAAAAACAAAAGGGCAUCUUUAGAUGAACCAUAUGGAAAGCUGUCGGAUCAAGGUGGUUCUCUGAUCUUCAUCUUUCUUCUUCUAAAAUUUGGCUUCUCAGUCUUGUCUAGAAUAUAGUAUCCUCUAGCUUCUUUGGUAGCUGGUGGACAUGGAAGUAAUGUUGAGGGACUUCACUGUUAUGGCUAGUUUUAGAUAAAACAUCAGCCAUAAAGUUAGUCUCUCUAAAGGUGUGAUUACAGGAAAAGGAUUGGAAUUGAUCACAUGUUCUCUUAAGGUUAGCUACAGUAUGGUGCAAAUUCCAAGGUGGAGCAACUUCUUGUUUUAUCCAGUGAACCUCUAACUCAGAGUCUACUUCCAAAAUCACCUAGUUAAAACCAUUAUUUAGACACCAAGAUAGACCCCAUUGAGCAGCUUCAAUCUUUGCUUGGUUGUUGGUACCAUGGCCUAGUGGAGUAGCAUAAGCAUAGAUUAAAUCACCUAGGGCAUCUCUAAACAAAUACCACCAGCCCCUAUCUUUCCUGGGUUGUCUAAUGCACUACCAUCAGAGUUGAUUUUAAUCACAUUUGUAGGUGGCUUAAACCAACUUACCUUGGUAAUUUUGAUAUCAUGGAAGCAAUUUCCUGCAAACUGUAUCAACUCAGGCCACUUGCAUGGCCAUUUGAUGUAAGGAGAGUUGAUGAGUAGGAGGUUGUUGAUAUCUUUAAGCACCAAGUAUAUCACUCUAGUGAUAUUAUAGUUGUUUCCUCCAUAUUUGCAUGCACAUCUAAUUUUCCACAGGUUCCAACAAGUAAAGAUAUUGAUUUACUGCAGACAUCAAGGCCACAAGGUUCAUACAUGCAAUGUCAAGAGGAGAGAUGCUGAAUAUCGAAUAAGAAAGGCAGUGGAAGCAGCAAACAAGAACAAACCCAAAACAACACAAGGAAAUGAUACUCAUGUAACUACUCUACCAAUUAAUUAUCAGCCUGUUAAGAAUAAUAUUUCUGCUACUGUUUCAG